UACGAAGGGGGCUAGCGUUGUUCGGAAUUACUGGGCGUAAAGCGUACGUAGGCGGCAUUAUAAGUCAGGGGUGAAAUCCCGGGGCUCAACCUCGGAACUGCCUUUGAUACUGUAGUGCUUGAGUCCGAUAGAGGUGAGUGGAAUUCCUAGUGUAGAGGUGAAAUUCGUAGAUAUUAGGAAGAACACCAGUGGCGAAGGCGGCUCACUGGAUCGGUACUGACGCUGAGGUACGAAAGCGUGGGGAGCAAACAGG
rnacentral:rRNA from 1 species